GAAGGCUUUGCUUUAUAACUCAAAUGUAUUUUCUCCUUUGUUGUAUUUAAGUUUGUAAAGUUAAAGAAGCUAAAAUUAUCCAGUCUUAGUAAAAUAUGGGCAGCUCAAAAGUGGUUAUAGUUCGAACUACAGUUGCGAAACGAUUUAAAAAUGGAUGUCAAGGAGUUAAAAUAAACGUCAUGGUUAAAGUAAUAAAGCCUGUCCAUGAAAUCAUACAACUCACACCGUGAAUAUCCCUACCGGACAUCAGAUUAUGCUAUUUAUGAAGCUGAAAUUGUAAAGUAUGAAUAAAUGAUCAAUCGUGUUAGCAAUAAGAGUGUAUUGCAUUAAAUAAACUGGAAAUUUGGCAUUGGAUUA